GUGAUUAUACACAAACAUGGUUUUCUCGUUUUAAGUAGUGCUUGCGGUGGUUCUUGUUGAAAUACAGGUAAUCCUGCGGGGCUUCAUUGCACACAUGUCAAAAAAUGAGAGAGGACAGAGGAGAGGAGGAGGAAUCCCAUGCUUCUUUAAAUUCUGCUGCCAUUCUGCUACCGUGGGCGUCGUACAGCCCCGUUUCCAUAGAGGACAGUCUGCCGCAACCACAAGCCUAGCUUCGUCCACCUCUGAAUCAAGAAGCAACUAGGCAUGGACGACCGCACCUACAAGGGCGGCAUCAAGGCGUACUGGAAGCGCCGGGGCUACUACCGCAUGGACGGCGACGCCGCGCGGCGCCGCCAGCCGCUCCCCACCGUGGAGCUCGGAAAUGGCGUCUCCCAGGCCCAGGCCCAGGCCCAGCCGCCGGCGGGGGAUGGCUCGGGCCGGCGCCGCCGGUGCCGCGGGUGGCGCGUGCGCCGCGGCCAGCUGGGGCGGCGGCUGCUCCGCGCGCUGUCCCCUCGCCGGUGGCUCAUGCGGCUCCGCGACGCGUACGUGUCCGCCAUGCUGCGGCUGGCCUCCUCCCCCGCCGUCGGGUACGGCGCCGGCGCGCCCUUCUGCGCCACGGCGACCCACGGCGCGGCGGCGGCGGCGGCCUUCGCGCGGCCGGCGCAGCUCAAGGAGUACGACGAGAAGGUGCUGGUGGAGAUCUACAGGUCCAUACUCGCGCGCGGCGGGCCUCUCGCCGGCGCGCCUGCCGCCGCCACGCUGCGGCUACCGACGGCUGUUUGAGCUUGAGCGGCAGAAGAGACGUGUGUUCUUCUUGCUUAUUUUUAUUCUUAUGUGUCGCGACUUGUACUGAGUUGUAACUUGCGUGCGCCCCACAAGCUAGCGUUUCUUCUUCGUUCCCAAUUCGAUAUCAUCAAGUCUUAUGUUAUGGGCUUGGAGUCCAAAGUCUGGUGCAUAUUUUUUGCACCGCGGGGGAAAAAAAACGGGCUCUGUCUAAAUUAUCAAAUAUGAAAACUAAAACUAUUAAACCAAUACAACUUCCUAGCCAUUCGCACUAUCCAUGUCCCAUAAAAAAUCAUGGCCGCUGAUGCUUUACAUCUAGCCGCACGCGUGGCCGACGGCCAACGCUGCCCGCAUGCUACACGUGUGUUUCUCAACCGUCCCCUAAAAAAGAAAAUCCUAUACCCGCGAUGGCGCACGUCAUUUACUAGUAUGGCAUUAUUACAAUAAUUAGGCCGGGACGUAACCAGUUUCUAGAUCCGCUAACGUAUAGCAUUAUGUUUAAUACAAGAUUUUUUUUCAUGUAUGCUCGAAUCACAUAUUUCCGCGAAUGAUUGCGACAGCAUAAAAAGCUUGGUCAUAAUCUGUCUAGUCGGAGUGUUUGAUUUCUAUAGACUAAUUUUCAGUGUCUCCCUUUUACUUUAUUUUAGUUCCUAAAUUAUCAAAUACAAAAACUAAAACUAUAUUUUAGUUUUUAUAUUUGAUAAUUUAAGAAUUAAAAUAGAAUAAAAUAAAUAGAUUAAAAAUUAGUUCAUAUAAACCAAACAUCCUUAAAUGGAUAAUUGUUAACUAUAUAUUAGAACGUAUUCAUGACCAAAUAGGAUGCACGUUAUGUAAUUACUGAAGUUAAAAGGAAGAGUUUUAUAAUCUAAACUAGAAAUUGCUGAUCACAGAAUCACGACUAUUGUUUGUCAUCAAUCAAAUUCAAGUACUGGAUUUAACAUCAUAGCACAAGUCAAAAUACUGAACUAAGUUGACAUCACUAGGUUUAUUUUGUUUUUCGGAAGGACUAAAAAAGAUUUAUGCCGUAAUUUUUAUUAGAAAGAUAAAAGAAACAAGAAACGAUUUAAUCAUUUUAGUAAAAACCAGCCUUAAAAAGACAGGACUAUAGAGAGGUGAUGUAUCUCCACACUACUCUCCCAAAUUUUGAAUAACAACUAACUAACUAACUGCUCAAACUUCACUAUUCCUUCGAAAAGAGCCAACUUGAUUGCAACGCAACUCAACCAAUAACUCAACUCAGCUACUCCACCCACGGUUUUCAGCGGGGGAAACUUAAAAAAAAAAAACUCAAAGCACAACCACUAACACAACCAAAAACAACAUGACAAAAGCAGGAUCUUGAAGUUAUCUAAUGAUGGUUGUCUUUUAUCUCUCACAGACUUCCAACAAACGUCCAACAAACAACUACUGAUAGGGAUGAAAGUGGUAAUCCGAACUGUUAGAACAAAUUUAAUAUUUUAAAAUAGAUAUAUAUAAAAUUUGAUGUUGAUCUUUUCUUAUGUUAUCAAGCACAUUAGUACAAAUAUGAAUAAAAUAUUAUAUAAGUUGUUUUAUGUAUUAUUUGCUCCCUACAACACAAAAAGUUGAAAAAAUUACCGAAUUUGUUUCCGAAUCCAUACCGAAGUUUAUAUCUAUUAUUUGAGAAAAUGUAGGAUGAAUUUGAGGUUUACCUUUUAUGAAUCUUAACAAGCUGGAUGUUAAAAACAAGAAUACAAAUUUGUAUUGUAUAUUUUAUAUCCUAUUUAUUCGCAAUCAAAGGAAAAACUGAUUACCGAAUAAAUACCGUUUCCGACCGUUUUCAUCCCUAACUACUGAAACUCUCAGCUCUCCAGGGCAGCUCCACACACCAAAUAAAAACCCUGCACUUUAGUAAUUUAUGCAGGCUUUUGGGGGGGCAUUAUCCCAUGCUCAAUUAGAAACGUGGGUGCAUCCAUUUGAGCCUUCGCUCAAAAUAUAUAGCGUGCGAAGUUCUUGAACAAAUCAGCAUUCGCAUUAAAAAAAGCAUUGGAUCCCAGCAUGGGAUGUAAAAAAUGCAGCUGUCAUCUUCCAGUUUCCGGCUCACCCAUGCCAUAUCGACGUUCAUAUAAUUUCAAGUAGUGAUUAUACACAAACAUGAUUUUCUCGUCUUAAGUAGUGCUUGCGGUGGUUCUUGUUGAAAUACAGGUAAUCCUGCGGGGCUUCAUUGCACACAUGUCAAAAAAAAUGAGAGAGGGCAGAGGAGAGGAGGAGGAAUCCCAUGCUUCUUUAAAUUCUGCUGCCAUUCUGCUACCGUGGGCGUCGUACAGCCCCCGUUCCCAUAGAGGACAGUCUGCUGCCGCAAGCCUAGCUUCGUCCACCUCUGAAUCAAGAAACAAAACAACUAGGCAUGGACGACCGCACCUACAAGGGCGGCAUCAAGGCGUACUGGAAGCGCCGGGGCUACUACCGCAUGGACGGCGACGCCGCGCGGCGCCGCCAGCCGCUCCCCACCGUGGAGCUCGGAGGUGGCGUCGCCCAGGCCCAGGCCCAGGCC
rnacentral:lncRNA from 1 species